AGAGUGGUUUUAAAUGGAAGGGAACAGUAAUUUCAAGACACCAAGCAAAUUAUCUGAAACAAAGAAAUCUGUAUUAUGUUCAACUCCAUGUAUAAAUAUCCCUGCUUCUCCAUUUAUGCAGAAGCUCGGCUUUGGUACUGGGGUAAAAGUUCACCUAAUGAAAAGAUCUCCAAGAGGUUUGUCUCAUUCUCCUUGGGCUGUAAAAAAGAUUAAUCCUAUAUGUAAUGAUCAUUAUCGGAGUGUGUAUCAAAAAAGACUAAUUGAUGAUGCUAAGAUCUUGAAAAACCUUCAUCAUCCAAACAUUGUAGGUUAUCGUGCUUUUACCGAAGCCAGUGACGGUACUUUGUGUCUUGCUAUGGAAUAUGGAGGGGAGAAAUCUCUAAACGACUUAAUAGAAGAGCGGAAUAAAGACAGCCGAGCUCCUUUUCCAGCAGCCUUAAUUUUAAAAGUUGCUUUGAAUAUGGCAAGAGGGCUAAAGUAUUUGCACCAAGAAAAGAAACUACUUCAUGGAGAUAUCAAGUCUUCAAAUGUUGUAAUUAAAGCUGAUUUUGAAACAAUUAAAAUCUGUGAUGUAGGAGUCUCUCUACCAUUGGAUGAAAAUAUGACUGUGACCAACCCUGAGGCCUGCUACAUUGGCACAGAGCCAUGGAAACCCAAGGAAGCUUUAGAGGAGAAUGGUGUUAUUACUGACAAGGCAGACAUAUUUGCUUUUGGUCUUGCUCUGUGGAAAAUGAUGACUUUAUCUAUUCCACACAUUAAUCUUCCAGAUGAUGAGGACGACGAUGAUGAAGAUGAAACUUUUGAUGAAAGUGACUUUGAUGACAAAGCAUACUACGCAGCUUUGGGAACGAGGCCGCCCGUUAAUAUGGAAGAACUGGAUGAAUCGUACCAGAAAGUCAUCGAACUCUUUUCGGUGUGCACGAACGAAGACCCUAAGGACCGUCCUUCUGCUGCACACACUGUUGACGCUUUGGAAACAGAUGGCCAGUGA